CCUACGGGGGGCAGCAGUGGGGAAUAUUGCACAAUGGGCGCAAGCCUGAUGCAGCCAUGCCGCGUGUGUGAAGAAGGCCUUCGGGUUGUAAAGCACUUUCAGCGGGGAGGAGGGCGGUGAGGUUAAUAACCUCAUCGAUUGACGUUACCCGCAGAAGAAGCACCGGCUAACUCCGUGCCAGCAGCCGCGGUAAUACGGAGGGUGCAAGCGUUAAUCGGAAUUACUGGGCGUAAAGCGCACGCAGGCGGUCUGUCAAGUCGGAUGUGAAAUCCCCGGGCUCAACCUGGGAACUGCAUUCGAAACUGGCAGGCUAGAGUCUUGUAGAGGGGGGUAGAAUUCCAGGUGUAGCGGUGAAAUGCGUAGAGAUCUGGAGGAAUACCGGUGGCGAAGGCGGCCCCCUGGAUAAAGACUGACGCUCAGGUGCGAAAGCGUGGGGAGCAAACAGGAUUAGAUACCCUAGUAGUC
rnacentral:rRNA from 1 species